UACGUAGGGGGCUAGCGUUGUCCGGAAUCAUUGGGCGUAAAGAGCGUGUAGGCGGUUAGGUAGGUCCGUUGUGAAAACUCGAGGCUCAACCUCGAGACGCCGAUGGAAACCAUCUAACUAGAGUCCGGAAGAGGAGAGUGGAAUUCCUGGUGUAGCGGUGAAAUGCGCAGAUAUCAGGAAGAACACCCGUGGCUAAGGCGGCUCUCUAGUACGGUACUGACGCUGAGACGCGAAAGCGUGGGGAGCGAACAGG
rnacentral:rRNA from 1 species